rnacentral:rRNA from 1 species
GCUACUGGUGAAAAUAUCUUGGAAGCACCAGAUCCCAUCUGAUCUUGGAAUCCAAGCAAUGUCAGCCCUGAUUAAUCCUGGGAUGGGAAACCGCCACAGAAUAUCAGGUGCUGUAGGCA